ACGUUAGCGGCGGACGGGUGAGUAACACGUGGGUAACCUACUAUAAGACUGGGAUAACUUCGGGAAACCGGAGCUAAUACCGGAUAAUAUUUCGAACCGCAUGGUUCGAUAGUGAAAGAUGGUUUUGCUAUCACUUAUAGAUGGACCUGCGCCGUAUUAGCUAGUUGGUAAGGUAACGGCUUACCAAGGCGACGAUACGUAGCCGACCUGAGAGGGUGAUCGGCCACACUGGAACUGAGACACGGUCCAGACUCCUACGGGAGGCAGCAGC
rnacentral:rRNA from 1 species